UACGGGGGGGGCAAGCGUUGUUCGGAAUUACUGGGCGUAAAGGGCUCGUAGGCGGCCAACUAAGUCAGACGUGAAAUCCCUCGGCUUAACCGGGGAACUGCGUCUGAUACUGGAUGGCUAGAGGUUGGGAGAGGGAUGCGGAAUUCCCGGUGUAGCGGUGAAAUGCGCAGAUAUCGGGAAGAACACCCGUGGCGAAGGCGGUUCUCUGGGACGGUACUGACGCUGAGGAGCGAAAGCGUGGGGAGCGAACAGG
rnacentral:rRNA from 1 species